rnacentral:tRNA from 1 species
ACGAUUGUGAUGAAAUUGGUAGACAUGAUUGAUUUAGGUCCAGUUGAUUUAUGAUCAUCGUGCAGGUUCGAGUAGUCCUACCAAUCGUA